UAAACGAAGGUCUUGCGGGUUUGGAAUAACAUAAGAAAUUUAAUUUCUGAGUCAACCAACACUUUAAUUUUCUUACAGUAUGUAAUAGUGUCCCUGCUCUUUCUCUUCAGGGGGUCCUUGGCCUGAAAAAAGUGUGAGAGCCCUGUCUUUGUGUAUAGUACUCAUUUGGAUGUCUGUGCAGCUUUUCUCAGUUUGUAUCAUACACUGACUCUCUGCCCUUUAUAGUUUGUUCUCUUUGCUAGCGAUUAUGACACCAGCGUCUGGCAUUGGUUUCGUUGCAACAUGUACCUUGCCAGAAUCAAACACCUUCGAAGGGCAGGACACAUGUUCCACAGAGAGGUGACUAGUGUUUUAUCAGCCUGGGUAUUAGUACAUCUACAAUGUAACAAUGUGCAAUGAAGUCCAGUUAUACUGUAAAAAGGUUAUUCUGUUCAUAUGUCAUAUUAAACAUUACUUCCUUUUUGCCUUAGAAGAGCAUUUAGACUAAUGGUUAUGAAGCAAAUCCUCUCACAGAAAUGUUUUCUUCUGAUGUGACAACUACAUUAGGAUUUGUGUAGUGUGCUUAUUAAUCGUCCUUAAGUGUUUUAUUUUGUGUGCAGUUGGAAUAACUAACUUCAUAUAUAUACUUAAAUAUAGUUCAUUGAAUAUUUUGCUGGGAUUUGAGCCAAUCGUUUCAGUGGAACGGCUACAGAAGGAGGAAAAAAAAAUAAAGAUCAACGAUGUGAGAAUCACUAGGGAUUGCUGAAGUGUCCAGAGCAGCAGCUGGUUUCCUGUGGUGUCAGGAUUUCAUGCAUCGUAAAUCAAGGACAAGACGAGGAUGCCAUUCUGAGGAGGUGCCGUCACACAUAGAGAAGAAGGAGCUGAUGUCAAUAUAAACACCCACAUCUUCUCAGUGUGCCUGCCUAGACAUGUGGCCUCUCACCUGUUUCUUUAUCAAAAUUCAAGGCAAGAUUCAUUGACUGCGUUCGAAAGCUCUGCUUUCACAUAUGGAGUUGGUGAUGUGCAAUGUGAAAUCCAGUCAGUCUGGUGUGUGAAAAGCAAUGGCACCGGUGCUCCAUAAUUAAGCCUCACCAAAGCCUCCCAGCAGGGGUCUGGAAUGUGCAGUGCAGCUCUACGGUACAGCAUGUCCUCGGUGCUGUGUGAGAACGUGUGGUGGCCGGACAGACAUGCGUCUUUUCUUCCUCCUUGUGUCUCAAUGACACUAUUGGAGUGGAAAUGGAAUUCUUCAGCUUCAAGAUGGUGAUUUCUAAAGAGGCAAAGCAGAUUUGCUGCUGGAUUUAGAGCACAAGAGGUAUUUGGAUUUGUUCAUUGAAAGCAGCCGUGCAUGGAUGUGGAACCUGUGUGAUGGCAGUGCUGGACCCAUAGGGUGGGUAUAGCAUGAAGAUGCCUAAAACAAAGCAAAUAAAAAAAGGAUUUUCUCCAAAAAUCAACAGUGCAAAUCUUCCAGUGAAAGUCUUUAUCCCUAAUCCAAGCAAGUUAAGUCCUGUCCUUUGAAAACAAAUCUGUGCAGAUAUCUUCUUGACGAGUGAUCACAGUAAACAUUGAAUUAUGGCUUGGAAGAAGACCUAAUAACGUGAUGGUUGUCUAUUAAAGUCAACAUGAAUGUUCAUUAUACAUUUUACUUUCAUAAUGUGACAUUGCCAAGUGAAAUAGGAUAUUCAGUGACAGUUAUGAAUGCAAGAUUUGAAUGUAAGUGAAUAGCAUUUAUCCUUUAGCCCACUCAGCUUAAAUGAUGUUAGUGGGAAAAGAAAAGUCAUUUCAGAGAUUUCUUUGAAAGGCAUAUUUUUACAUUUAUCGUAUUUUGGAUUGUGACUCCAAGUUCAUGAUCAUAUAACAGCUCAGUUGUGACACAUCUCUGGAUGUUUCUGUCAAAGGCUGUUCAUCCAGUCACCCUGAGCCUAAGUCCUCUGCAGCUGUUGUUUCACACCUCUGAUGUGUCUCGGUGCCAUCACAUUUUAUGUCAGGAGCAGAGACAUGACUUUUUUUGACGUAAAGGGCUCUGAGGUCUAUGUUUUGUUUGAAAUGAAAAGAUUGCCUGCAUUUUACCUGAGGGCUUUUAACAUGUACUUUGUGUCUGCUUUGCUGCUUGCAUCCUAUUAUAUUAUAUUAUAUUAUAUUAUAUUAUAUUAUAUUAUAUUAUAUUGAGCGGGAUUGUUUAUAUGUUUUAUUUAUGUUUAGUAAAUAAAACAUAAAAAUUGUUUCAUUUAUUGUUUUAGUUUAUUUUCUUCAUGUAAAAUGACUGCAGUGCACACAUAAAAAAGACAAAGAAAAAGCAUUUUGACAGGCACAAAAUAAUAUCCAGGACUAUUGAACACUUGGGGCUUUAGUGCAAUAGACCACAAUAUGUGUAAAUCUCAUUUUGUUGUUCUCCUUUGUAUGAACUGUUUUAUCUGUGUUGUUUUUUUGUAGUCCAUUCACAGAUGUUCCUCCUAUAAAACAAUGUCUGUUGUUGUCUGCCUACACAAUGUUAUUGUUCUAGGAUGGCUCCUCUAAUGAGCUUUGUCUUCCCCUUGCUAACCUACAAACCUCCUUCCAGCCUUUUCAUUAGACUGAUUUGUUACAGUCCCAAAUGAAGUAGACUGUAUUUUGUAACCGCAGAAAGAGGUCAUUGCAUUUUUUUAUGGGAUUGUUUUUCAAAAAGUGAAAGACAAGGUAGGAUGCAGGACAAUGCCUGUCACAGUGGUUUAUAUGAGAAACCGCCGUAUUAUUUACCCUCUAAAUGAACCGGCGAACUGUCUGAACCUGAGAGUUAGCUUCAGUGUACAUCAGAAUAGAGAGU